rnacentral:rRNA from 1 species
AACGAACGCUGGCGGCAUGCCUAACACAUGCAAGUCGAACGAGACCUUCGGGUCUAGUGGCGCACGGGUGCGUAACGCGUGGGAACCUGCCUUUAGGUUCGGAAUAACUCAGAGAAAUUUGAGCUAAUACCGGAUGAUGUCUUCGGACCAAAGAUUUAUCGCCUUUAGAUGGGCCCGCGUUGGAUUAGCUAGUUGGUGGGGUAAGGCCUACCGAGGCGACGAUCCAUAGCUGGUCUGAGAGGAUGAUCAGCCACACUGGGACUGAGACACGGCCCAGACUCCUACGGGAGGCAGCAGUGGGGAAUAUUGGACAAUGGGCGAAAGCCUGAUCCAGCAAUGCCGCGUGAGUGAUGAAGGCCUUAGGGUUGUAAAGCUCUUUUACCCGAGAUGAUAAUGACAGUAUCGGGAGAAUAAGCUCCGGCUAACUCCGUG